rnacentral:rRNA from 1 species
CGGGUGAGUAACACGUAUGCAACCUGCCUGCCACAGCCGGCUAAUCGGGAGAAAUUCCGUCUAAUACGGCAUAAUGCAUCGACGGGACAUCCUGUUGGUGCCAAAGGUUGAUUCCGGUGGCGGAUGGGCAUGCGUCGCAUUAGUUAGUUGGCGGUGUAACGGACCACCAAGACGACGAUGCGUAGGGGUUCUGAGAGGAAGGUCCCCCACACUGGUACUGAGACACGGACCAGACUCCUACGGAAGGCAGCAG